rnacentral:rRNA from 1 species
UACGGAGGGUGCAAGCGUUAUCCGGAUUCACUGGGUUUAAAGGGUGCGUAGGUGGAUUGGAAAGUCAGUGGUGAAAUCUCCGGGCUUAACUCGGAAACUGCCAUUGAUACUAUCAGUCUUGAAUACCGUGGAGGUCAGCGGAAUAUGUCAUGUAGCGGUGAAAUGCAUAGAUAUGACAUAGAACACCAAUUGCGAAGGCAGCUGGCUACACGAAUAUUGACACUGAGGCACGAAAGCGUGGGGAUCAAACAGG